AUUGAACGCUGGCGGCAUGCCUUACACAUGCAAGUCGAAAGGCAGCACGGGAGCUUGCUCCUGGUGGCGAGUGGUGAACGGGUGAGUAAUACAUCGGAACGUACCCAGUAGUGGGGGAUAAAGCACGGAAAGGUGCGCUAAUAUCGCAUACGACCUAAGGGUGAAAGCGGGGGACCGUAAGGCUCCGCGCAAUUGGUGCGGCCGAUGUCUGAUUAGCUAGUUGGCGGGGUAAAGGCCCAACAAGGCUACGAUCAGUAGCUGGUCUGAGAGGACGAUCAGCCACACUGGGACUGAGACACGGCCCAGACUCCUACGGGAGGCAGCAGUUGGGAAUUUUGGACAAUGGGGGCAACCCUGAUCCAGCAAUGCCGCGUGUGCGAAGAAGGCCUUCGGGAUGUAAAGCACUUUUGUCAGUGAAGAAAUCUUUUUGGCUAAUACCCCGGAAGGAUGACGGUACCUGAAGAAUAAGCACCGGCUAACUACGUGCCAGCCGCCGCAGUAA
rnacentral:rRNA from 1 species